rnacentral:rRNA from 1 species
GCCCACCAAGGCGACGAUGCGUAGCCGGCCUGAGAGGGCGGACGGCCACACUGGGACUGAGACACGGCCCAGACUCCUACGGGAGGCAGCAGUAGGGAAUUUUCGGCAAUGGGCGAAAGCCUGACCGAGCAACGCCGCGUGAACGAAGAAGGUCUUCGGAUCGUAAAGUUCUGUUAUCGGGGAAGAGAGGCGGAUGCAGGGAAUGGUAUCCGAGAGGACGGUACCCGAUGAGGAAGCCACGGCUAACUAC